UACGAAGGGUGCAAGCGUUACUCGGAAUUACUGGGCGUAAAGCGUGCGUAGGUGGUUUGUUAAGUCUGUUGUGAAAGCCCCGGGCUCAACCUGGGAAUGGCAAUGGAUACUGGCAAGCUAGAGUGCGGUAGAGGGUAGUGGAAUUCCCGGUGUAGCGGUGAAAUGCGUAGAGAUCGGGAGGAACACCAGUGGCGAAGGCGGGUCUCUGGGCAACAACUGACGCUGAGGAGCGAAAGCGUGGGGAGCGAACAGG
rnacentral:rRNA from 1 species